rnacentral:rRNA from 1 species
CGAGGCCCCAGGUCAGGCGGGACUACCCGCUGAAUUUA